rnacentral:misc_RNA from 1 species
GCGUAUUGGAAGGAGGAUGCACUACCCUCGGCUUUAUGAACCAAACCAAGAUUAUACCAUGCAGAUGAAUUCAUUCUAUCAAGCCGUAGCGCAUUCAUUAGAAAGGAUCUGAUUACUUCAUUUGUAUUGUCACCAAGUCUUCUAAGAACCACAGCUGUAGAUACCAAGCUUGGGACGUGGAUGGGAUCAAUUUCCAGAGCAGUAGUGAAGACUUUUAGUGCUUCUUUAUGGAGGCCCCUUCUUUCAUAAAGCAAACCAGUUGUAAGACAUCUUGAAGCUGAGAAAGAACUGAUGGCCUUGGAUUUGGAAAGACAAAUCUCAGCAUCAUGCCACUGUGAUAGGCUUAUGUAGACAGAAGCCAGAUCAUGCCAAACUUCCAGUUCCAAACUUCUAGUAAGGUUUCCAUUGCCCUCACGUGGCCUCUUCCCAGAACUAAAACUUUUAGA